UACGGAGGGUGCGAGCGUUGUCCGGAAUCACUGGGCGUAAAGGGCGCGUAGGCGGCCUGAUAAGUAGGGGGUGAAAUCCUGCGGCUUAACCGCAGGGCUGCCUUCUAAACUGUCAGGCUAGAGCACAGUAGAGGCAGGUGGAAUUCCUGGUGUAGCGGUGGAAUGCGUAGAGAUCGGGAAGAACAUCAGUGGCGAAGGCGGCCUGCUGGGCUGUUGCUGACGCUGAGGCGCGACAGCGUGGGGAGCAAACAGG
rnacentral:rRNA from 1 species